rnacentral:sRNA from 1 species
AGGACACUGGACAGGACCCUGAGAAGGUAUGGCCUGCCAGCCUGUGGCCAGUGGGGGUGCUGAAGUCUCCAUCGAGGACAUUCAGGAGGUGCGAAUGGGGCACCGCACGGAGGGUCUGGAGAAGUUCGCCCGUGAUGUGCCCGAGGACCGCUGCUUCUCCAUUGUCUUCAAGGAUCAGCGCAAUACACUAGACCUCAUUGCCCCAUCGCCAGCUGAUGCCCAGCACUGGGUGCUGGGGCUGCGCAAGAUCAUCCACCACUCAGGCUCCAUGGACCAGCGGCAGAAGCUACAGCACUGGAUUCACUCCUGCUUGCGAAAAGCUGACAAAAACAAGGACAACAAGAUGAGCUUCAAGGAGCUGCAGAACUUCCUGAAGGAGCUCAACGUCCAGGUGGAUGACAGCUAUGCCCGGAAGAUCUUCAGGGAGUGUGACCACUCCCAGACAGACUCCCUGGAGGACGAGGAGAUUGAGGCCUUCUACAAGAUGCUGACCCAGCGGGUGGAGAUCGACCGCACCUUCGCUGAGGCCGCGGGCUCAGGGGAGACUCUGUCGGUGGAUCAGUUAGUGACGUUCCUG